rnacentral:rRNA from 1 species
UAAUACGGAGGGAGCAAGCGUUACUCGGAAUUACUGGGCGUAAAGGGCGCGUAGGCGAUUCAUUAAGUCUUGUGUGAAAGCCCAUGGCUUAACUGUGGAAGUGCACGAGAAACUGGUGGGAUUGAGUACAGGAGAGGAAGGCAGAAUUCCCGGUGUAGCGGUGAAAUGCGUAGAUAUCGGGAGGAAUACCAGUGGCGAAGGCGGCCUUCUGGACUGUAACUGACGCUGAGGCGCGAAAGCUAGGGGAGCAAACGGGAUUAGAUACCCCGGUAGUCCUAGCCGUAAACGAUGUACACUUGGUGUGAGCCCGAUUAGGGUUCGUGCCGAAGUUAACGCGAUAAGUGUACCGCCUGGGGAGUACGGUCGCAAGGCUG